AUUGAACGCUGGCGGCAGGCCUAACACCUGCACGUCGAGCGAGCGGCGGACGGGUGAGUAAUGUCUGGGACACUGCCUGAUGGAGGGGGAUAACUACUGGAAACGGUAGCUAAUACCGCAUACCAUCAGAUGUGCCCAGGUGGGAUUAGCUAGUAGGUGGGGGAACGGCUGACCUAGGCGACGAGCCCUAGCUGUCCUGAGAGUAUGACCAGCCACACGUGAACUGAGACACGGUCCAGACUCCUACGGGAGGCCGCAGUGGGGAAUAGUGCACAAUGGGCGCAAGCCUGAUGCAGCCAUGCCGCGUGUGUGAAGAAGGCCUUCGGGUUGCAAAGCACUUUCAGCGGGGAGGCGUUACCCGCAGAAGAAGCACCGGCUAACUCCGUGCCAGCAGCCGCGGUAAUAC
rnacentral:rRNA from 1 species